GAAUUUCUUCACCGAAACUGGAAAAAGUAUGUCGAAGGUUGGGAAAAAGCGACAAGAGCCCGCGGCAUGAGCCAUCGUGAAUGAUCGGUCCACAAAACUGUCACAGCCCCUGAACCUGUGAUUUCCUCACAUUUAAAAGGUUGACCGGACAUUUGUGUGCAUCCGGUCCAAGACGGCGACGUCUAUAUCGCAAGGCCACAGUGGACGAAUAAGAACUAUCUUCAUCUGAUGGAGAGAGUUAACUCGCUUCACCUUAUAUCGAGGUGCCUCUUGAUCCUCUUCCCCAACAGGGGGCGUAAAGUUGUUUGCGUCGUUUCUUUGUUUGACAAUUCAUAUCUACCGCCGGAUGUUGUAAUUGUAAGGGAAUUGUGUGAAAUAAAUUAACUAGAAGAACUUGA